GCUGGUACCUGGUGAAGGACAAGCAGAGGAGCGGGUUCCCGCGACCUUGAGUUCUCAGCUGCCCGUGUUAACAGCAGCUCAAAGACUCCAAAACCUGCGGAAGAAGCCGC